GAGGAAUUUCAUUCCUGGCACAAGCUACCUAUUCCUGGCCCAGCUCUGCCAGGAGGGGAGGCAAGAUGAGCACUUCUUCAGGGAGUUCUCUUGGAAAACUUUUGCAUCAUCUGGGCAGGGAAAAACAAAGGUGCUGGGAAGAACUGAAGGACGGUGCCUUUAAAAAAUAUCAGCAGGCUGUGCUGAUGCCUCGUGCUGCUUCUGGGCUCUGUGCUGCCUGAUGUGUUUGGAAACCAGACUGCCUCACUGCCUCCAUCAGAAGCCAUCUCUGUUUGCUAUGACAGCAUCAUAACCAACCCCGUGCCCGGAGAGAGGCAUUCACCUGCUAAGGUCCUUCAUUUAACAUAGAGAGACAGGCGACCCGAGAGCAACGGAGCCAGGGGGAUGGUGCUUGGGUCUGUUUGCAAAUGGCAAAGUUCUUUGCAGUGGGAGAGGUUUAACGUUUACUCUGGCACCGAGAGUGAUCAUUCCAAACUGGGAAUCCUUCCUGCUCAGCUGAUCAUUCGCAGUGUGUAAGUGAUGGAGAAGCCGGGCACCAGCACUGCUCUCCCUGCCCUUCCAGCGCGAUGGCUCCUGCUCAGGAUUGGGUAUGGUGCUCUCAUGCAACCAAUUUUCGAAGAAGGUACUUUUUGAUGCCACUGGUGGACCCACAGCUCAAAAGCUAGAUGUUACUUUUCAAAAUGCUCCUUUUCAUCACUGUUCUUUACGUAGCCCGGCUGUAUUCAGGCCCCUGCAGCAUCGUGUCUGCUGCCCGCUCAGCUCCUGAAGCCACCUGCGGUGUCACCACCUUCUCCCCAGACAGCACCUCGUAAAGGAACUUUCUUAAACAUUUACCUAUACAAUUCUUUAAAGCAAAAGUAAUCUAGUUACCUUUAAAAAUGUGAACUUCAUGUUAUCACUAAGGCCCCAAAUUUUGGUUCUGGUUUGGAAAUUUUUUUCCGUCUUGUCCCAUAAUAGCCCUCGGAAACAGGUAACAGUUUCAGUCUGGUUUCUCCAGUUGUGUCCUCUGCUGACUUAGCACAGAUGGUGGGUUUUUCAGACUAGCACCGAGAAAUGAAUGCAUAGUAUUUCCCACUAACUGACUUAUGUUUGAAUUGCCCUUCAUCUGCUCUUUCUGUCAGUGAUUAGUGACAGGAGGCUAGCCCUUAUUUUCUUUCAUUAUAUGCCAUGCCUAACC